rnacentral:lncRNA from 1 species
GUUGGCCUUCUUGGCCACCUGAGCACACUGCUGGCUCAUCUUCAGCCGACUAUCCACCAAUACUCCCAGGUCCUUCUCUGCCAGGCAGCUUUCUAACCACUCAGACCGCUUUUCCAACCAUCUUUAAACUUCCAGAUCUAGAGGAACACUUUGGCUGCAGCCUAAAAGCCAUGUAUACGUAAGCUGCCCCAAGCCAGCCAAUCUUCUUCCCAUGACCUGCCAGAAAACAGCAAUGGAGGCAUGUAACCAAAUUAAAGCCAAAACUUUCAGCCCAGUCCUUGACCUGAAUAGUGAGUGAGGAUCCCGAUCCUGGCAUUUAUACACGAUAGUUUAUAUGCAGCCGAAGUAAAUACUGUAGUCAGAGGUUGUGGGGUUAGAUUUUGAAAAGUCCUGCAUAAAGAAGAGAUCUCAGAAAAGCACAUUUAAAUAACAUUAAUGUCAAGAAAAGGAAUUCUGAUUGCUACAUUCUUUAUCUGUCGUGACUAGACAGAUGAAAAUCUAUGAUAGCAAUUUUGCCUUUAAGGUCAUUUUCUUUUUUCCUUUAUUUUAUUUUAUUUAUUUAUUUAUUUAUUUAUUUAUUUAUUUAUUUAUUUAUUAACAGGCUCUGUACUAAUUUUCCUCCCAGAAUGACUAACAGAAAUAUGACCCUUGUGCAGCUUUCAUAGUUAAUUCGUUAGGUCAACUCUAACCACUAAGCCCCUUGUCAGGUUAUUUCUAUUAGUGAGAAGGAGCAAUUGACCUUAAAAGACUGAAGCCAGGUAGAUGAGCCUAUUCCAUAAGGCCUCUUGGCUCCAGCCUUGUUUAGUGAAAUCUGCCAGGUGUGGAUCAUUUGAGCUUUGCUAUAUAGGAAGCAUGAGGACUUGUGGGGAAUUGCCUGCUUGGGGGAGUUUGAGGCUCAGGUUUUCUAGGGUGCUUUUCUACCAUGGUGAAAUGGACUCAGUGUUCCCUGUACAGUAAAACCCUGGUGGUACGACUUCACUGUGAAGUAGUUCGGAAGUGGCUCAAGUUCAGAAGCUGGCAGGUAAGUGUUCCUGGGUUCUACAGUUGUUUAAUGUUCAGGAGUUUGAGUAUUUCCUUUGCCUUGUCUGUUUGCAGUGAAAUUACUUAUGUGGAUUCUAAGCUCCCUUUCUAGCCCUUAAAAAUAAAAUAAUAGUAAUAAUACUAAACA